UACAGGGGGUGCAAACGUUGCUCGGAAUUACUGGGCGUAAAGCGCGCGUAGGCGGCUUUGUAAGUUAGAGGUGAAAGCCCGGAGCUCAACUCCGGAACUGCCUUUAAAACUGCAUCGCUUGAAUCCAGGAGAGGUGAGUGGAAUUCCGAGUGUAGAGGUGAAAUUCGUAGAUAUUCGGAAGAACACCAGUGGCGAAGGCGGCUCACUGGACUGGUAUUGACGCUGAGGUGCGAAAGCGUGGGGAGCAAACAGG
rnacentral:rRNA from 1 species